UAGAGAUGUUAAUUUAAUGAAGAUGAAGAUUGAAAUAGAGAGGGAAGGGUAAUUCAAUUUUUUUGAUUUUAAAAAAAAAAUAGAGGUGUGGGUAGUAAUAUAGAAGGGGUAGGUAGCAAAAUUAAUUUGUCAACUUGCAAGCUCAAUUGAGAUGAGUGACAUGCAACCCACAAAGUUUAUUUGCAAGAAGCAAACGUUUUUACUAAUUUGAAGGAAAAAGUUGAACAGACGUUGGAUAUGCUUCAAUUCCAGUCUUUAGUAUACAUGAAAACGAAACUAGUUGGAGACGCUUAGAAAGGUUACAACAAAAAGCACCAGUGAUCUAGUGGUAGAAUAUGCGGCGAUAAUUUCAUAUAUGCGGGGAUAGCUCAGUUGGGAGAGCGUCAGACUGAAGAUCUGAAGGUCGCGUGUUCGAUCCACGCUCACCGCAUUUCAAUUUUUGUUUCUACUCUCUCAUUCGAUCAAUCUUUCCCAAGGAACUAAACAUGUUUAACACUAGUAACUAUGAAGAGGAAAGAAAUGGAGAAGAUUUUAACUCGUGUUUGGUUCUUGACUGAGUCUCAUUAUUCAUCAGAUGUACCUGUCAAAGCCAAAUGGGACCUCACCUUCAGUAUGAACUCAAAUCUGAUAUUGUUUCCAGUGGCAUGUUUGACCUUGUUACAGGCGAAGAUGAUUUAUUUGCUAAUACCAUCCUCUUACGCCUUGCUGAUGGCUUUAGGAGAGGCAAACGGAAAUUAGGCUUUCUUUUGUGAGAGUUUUCUUGAUCGAGCGAAAGCACCAAGAUAACAGGAAGCACAAGCAGUAUAAAGGGUUGUUGUCAAUGGUCAGAGUAGCUAAUCACUUGGAGUUGUUGAAGCGGGUGAAACCUGUUUUCAACUGUGGAGAUUCAGAGUCCAAGGCUAGCUCUGGUUCUGUUUGGUUGUUGGGCUGAUUUUUCCAAUGCCAAUGCUCAGAUAUGAUACUUGAUACUCCUCAUGAUUGUGAGGUAAGACUAGCACCAACUUAUGAUCGAAGGUGUCUUUGCUGUCUAACACCAGAAGAUGUCAUUCAUUACAUUCAAUUAAUUCAAUUUCUUAAAUUAUUACUGGUCCGACAUGUUAGUGUCGUGCUCGAUGUUUGUGUUCGUGUUAGUAUUAUGAGUUUAUACAUAUCAUUAUGAGUGGAUGCAUUUAUGCUUUGACAUAUAAGGUUGUUGGCCAGUUUUUAUGCAUAUAAGGUUGUUGUUGGCCAGUUUUUAUGCUUUGACAUAUGCAUUUUCUAUGUGUAGUUUUAACCCUUUAUGGUUUGAUGCAGAUAGGUCUAGAGUUGAUAUCCAAUUCUUCAAAUGAAGAUUUUAUUGUUAUCAUGCUAUUCUCACCUUCAAAACUGGCAUCUUUCUCUACACUUUUUACCUCCACUCAUGGAAGUGCUUUUUUAUUUUAUUUUAUUAUUAUACUAUGGUUUAGACUUCUUAUUUGGAUAGGCACAAUGAAAUGCUUCUUUUUCAACCCUUAAACUUCUAAAAAAUUACACAUGUGCUCGAAAGUAUACUUCUGGAUGGUAAAAAAAUUGUAUUUUUGUUUGGAAUACUUUUAAAGGACAUUAACUGUGAUGUUUCUUUUGGAAGUAUCCUUUUUUGGAGGACAAUAA